rnacentral:rRNA from 1 species
GACUACUUACGGGACGCAGCAGUGGGGAAUAUUGCACAAUGGGGGAAACCCUGAUGCAGCGACGCCGCGUGAGUGAAGAAGUUUUUCGGUAUGUAAAGCUCUAUCAGCAGGGAAGAUAAUGACGGUACCUGAGUAAGAAGCCCCGGCUAACUACGUGCCAGCAGCCGCGGUAAUACGUAGGGGGCAAGCGUUAUCCGGAUUUACUGGGUGUAAAGUGAGCGUAGACGGCAUGGCAAGUGUGCAGUGAAAGCCC